GUCUCUCUCUCUCUCCAAGACACCAUUCUUCAUUUUCUGAAUCUACUAUCCGCCUGUUUGAGCCAGCACACCAUUCAACUAGUUGGAAUGUGCAGGAAAAGGCAAACCUGAAUUUCUCUUCUUCCAGGUUGCUCCAUAAUGUCUGCUCAAGAGAUCUAGCCCAGCUGCAAUCAUAGGCCUGCAAUACUAGUCCAGGAGGUCGGCUUAAGGUACGCAACUUCAGCUAUGCAAAAUGUCUUGGCAGCAUCCACACAGUGGGAGGCCAAUGGAAGCAAACAUUCCAGGUGGCUUCCCUUACUCCUCGCAAAAGGAAGAGUACCAGAUGCUGGUGAGGUCUGCCCUCAGCAUUAGAUUUAUGGGUCUAUACCAGACCCACUAAAUCGAACACUAGAAGCUUGACCUCUGGAGCGUCGCUAUUGCGGCUGCCCAACCCCCACGCCAUCCUCUGGACCCUCCUGAGGGACAAGGAGAGCAGCUGCAGCUCCCGGAUGUUUGCAUGCCCCGCUGCAUCUGGCGUCUGGACACCAGCAGCGACUGGCGGGACCACAUCAUCCUGGAGCACUGAGGAGACCAACAGUGG